rnacentral:rRNA from 1 species
UACGAAGGGGGCUAGCGUUGCUCGGAAUUACUGGGCGUAAAGCGCACGUAGGCGGAUCAGUCAGUUAGAGGUGAAAGCCCAGGGCUCAACCCUGGAACUGCCUUUAAUACUGCUGGUCUGGAGUCCGAGAGAGGUGAGUGGAAUUCCGAGUGUAGAGGUGAAAUUCGUAGAUAUUCGGAGGAACACCAGUGGCGAAGGCGGCUCACUGGCUCGGUACUGACGCUGAGGUGCGAAAGCGUGGGGAGCAAACAGG